rnacentral:rRNA from 1 species
UACGUAGGGUGCGAGCGUUGUCCGGAAUUACUGGGCGUAAAGCGUGCGUAGGCGGUUUGUUAAGUCCGUUGUGAAAGCCCUGGGCUCAACCUGGGAAUUGCAGUGGAUACUGGCAAGCUAGAGUCAGGUAGAGGGUGGUGGAAUUCCCGGUGUAGCGGUGAAAUGCGUAGAGAUCGGGAGGAACAUCUGUGGCGAAGGCGGCCACCUGGACCAUGACUGACGCUGAGGCACGAAAGCGUGGGGAGCAAACAGGG